GUAGGGUGCGAGCGUUGUCCGGAAUUAUUGGGCGUAAAGGGCUCGUAGGCGGUCUGUUGCGUCAGGAGUGAAAACUCGGGGCUUAACCCCGAGCCUGCUUCUGAUACGGGCAGACUAGAGGUAUGCAGGGGAGAACGGAAUUCCUGGUGUAGCGGUGAAAUGCGCAGAUAUCAGGAGGAACACCGGUGGCGAAGGCGGUUCUCUGGGCAUUACCUGACGCUGAGGAGCGAAAGUGUGGGGAGCGAACAGGAUUAGAUACCCUGGUAGUCCACACCGUAAACGUUGGGCGCUAGGUGUGGGACUCAUUCCACGAGUUCCGUGCCGCAGCUAACGCAUUAAGCGCCCCGCCUGGGGAGUACGGCCGCAAGGCUA
rnacentral:rRNA from 1 species